GACGAACGCUGGCGGCGUGCCUAAUACAUGCAAGUAGAACGCUGAAGGAGGAGCUUGCUUCUCUGGCUGAGUUGCGAACGGGUGAGUAACGCGUAGGUAACCUGCCUGGUAGCGGGGGAUAACUAUUGGAAACGAUAGCUAAUACCGCAUAAUAGUAGAUGUUGCAUGACAUUUGCUUAAAAGGUGCAAUUGCAUCACUACCAGAUGGACCUGCGUUGUAUUAGCUAGUUGGUGGGGUAACGGCUCACCAAGGCGACGAUACGUAGCCGACCUGAGAGGAUGAUCAGUCACAGUGGAACUGAGACACGGUCCAGACUCCUACGGGAGGCAGCAGUGGGGAAUAUUGGACAAUGGGCGAAAGCCUGAUCCAGCCAUGCCGCGUGUGUGAAGAAGGUCUUCGGAUUGUAAAGCACUUUAAGUUGGGAGGAAGGGCAGUAAGUUAAUACCUUGCUGUUUUGACGUUACCAACAGAAUAAGCACCGGCUAACUUCGUG
rnacentral:rRNA from 1 species